rnacentral:rRNA from 1 species
UACGUAGGGUGCGAGCGUUGUUCGGAAUUAUUGGGCGUAAAGAGCUUGUAGGCGGUUUGUCGCGUCUGCUGUGAAAAUCCGGGGCUCAACCCCGGACUUGCAGUGGGUACGGGCAGACUAGAGUGUGGUAGGGGAGACUGGAAUUCCUGGUGUAGCGGUGAAAUGCGCAGAUAUCAGGAGGAACACCGGUGGCGAAGGCGGGUCUCUGGGCCGAUAUUGACGCUGAGGAGCGAAAGCGUGGGGAGCGAACAGG